UUCUCUCUCCCCAACCUUCAUUCUCCUCCUACCCCCCAAAAACUCCAUUAAACAUAAAACCCAAAGCUCACAUUUUUACCCCAACCAUACACCAAAAACCAAGACCACUUUCACAAAACCUUAUCCAUUUGUCACCAUAAUCACUUUUCUGGGUCUAAAUUCACAAAAAUCCAAAGUUCGAAUUUCUCACUUUUUCAAAUAAACAAUGCCUCCAAAGAGAAUGAUAAGGGCAAGCAAGCAGCUGCAACAUCAAGAACUAGGAAGUAGAGCUCGAGAUCAUCCAACCCUCACAAAAUUAUUUUUGAGGAUGAUGCCCAAGCCAAAAUGUACUUUGUGCUAAUUCGUCGGAAAAUGACUCCUACAAGGUACACGUGUGAACAAAUUUUAACUGAUUUAGGUUUGAAGUUUGAAGUAGAUAGGAUGUUUCAUUCAAUUAUCUUUCUAUAAGUUAUGUACAUGGAAGUUCCGACAUACGAGUAUGUUACUCUUGAGUUUUAGAGUACCCUUGAUUUCCAUUUGCAUAGGAAGUGGGUUGGCGAUGUGAGGUACUUCUACGGUACUCUCAAAUUCCGUCUUUUUAAUCAAAAGCAUGAUUUGUAUGUUGAAUAUAUGAGGAGUAUUCUUCUACUGCCUAUUUUUGGACCCGUAGAUGUUCCAGAUGAUUCCCUUGUUGCACAAUUCUGGGCUGAAAUUACAGGUAAUUUAGACUAUAGUUCUGCAACCGCAAAAGCUUCCAUUAUCCAUAAUCCUUGUUUCUGGUAUGCUAAAAGAGAACUAUUUUCAUGUAUUCUAAGGCCCAUAAUGAGAUGGUUAACGCCGAUACAUUUGCGGAUAACUAUUUAGGAAGGGUUGCUCGUGCGACCACUGGGGGUAUGAUUACCCAAAUCACCGAUUACCUAGGUUAUGCACCUAAUUUGUCUCAAGAUUGUUUGGUUGCAGGUAAAACAAAAAGUGAUAUGGAAGCCCUUAUUCAUCAGGGCAUGAUUGCUGUUGUCGGUAACACCUACUCGGUGAUGAUCUACAACCAACACCUCAUCGAUCUACCCGACCCAGACAUAGUAAGAAUUGAUGAUAAGAAUAAUUGGAUUUAUGUAGUAGUUUCCCCUCUUCCGGUUUUGUCUGACGAAGAGGACAACCAUGAUUUUGAUAACUUUGUUGCAGGUAAUGCUAUGGAUCAAGACCUUGCACCCUCACACCUCUGCCCUGCCCAACAAGAAACCAGGGUUACUAGUGUAAAUCAAGGAUGAUGGGCAUGGAUACAAUCUGAGCUAGGUGACCUGAGAUCUGAACAAGUAUGGAAAAUCUUCGAGCAAGCAAGGCAAGGAGCAUUACUGGAUAACAUGCAAGCAAUGAUGCAACAAAUGAUAUUGCAUUUCCCUCCACCUCCUAAGUGAGGACUUCUAUGAGUUACCACUAUUUUCUUGUGCUAAAAUAUUGAGGACAAUGUUUGGUUCAUGUUUGGGGGGGGGGGGUACCUGUUUUUGUUUUCUUUAUUACCACUAUUUUCUUGUGCUAAAAUAUUGAGGACAAUGUUUGGUUCAUGUUUGG
rnacentral:lncRNA from 1 species